rnacentral:rRNA from 1 species
AGCCACAGCCAUAUCACCCUGCAGCCCAAGACCGGUUAAGAAGGGCUAAGCCUGGUCAGUACCUGGAUGGGAGACCACAUGGGAAAACCAAGAUGCUGUUGGAA